CUCACCUAUCAGCUGCUUCCCAGACAAGAAAUCUAGCUGUGGUCUCCAUUAGGCAGAGAGCUCUGACAAGAAAGAAUAUGUUGACUCAGAUGGAGUGCCUGCCUAAAAAUGUGGUGAUUCACAUCUCCAGCUGCAUUCAGGCCUACAGUGAAGAAGUUGCAGAGAGAAGCCUGAGGAUUAUGAAAAAGGACUUCAAAGCCAUUAGUGGAUGAAGUGGGUGAACAGGUUUUUAAACAAUUCUACUUUUUCUGAAGAAAGGCAGUCGUAUAUGAACAGGAUCAGUCAAUUAUGCUAAUAUCAGAAUAUACCUGAGGGAUGGCAUUAUGAAGACACAUACGUGAUUGUCUGGCACGAAAGUAAGGGAACAUUCACCACUUCCUCCCAAGUAAAACAAUCAAUUUUCACCAUCUUUCUGGAAAUGUCACUACCCUUGCCAACUGAGAGCAUUCCUCUCGUCAAAAGAAAAAGAGCAGUCAGAAAUUCCAAAGACCCUCUCCAUACACCCCAACCUGGACAUAACUGAGAAGGUUCUCCAGAAGAUUGAUACAUGUACAGUAACUUGAAAAAAUAUUCAUCCUUAGAGUCUUAACUGAAAUAAAGUAUUGUUUAUAUCACACACAUUUUAAACAUGUAUAGGCCAUGCACAUAUUAAAGUCUGAGAAUCUAUGUUUGCUUUCUACAAAGCAUUUUUUCCACCCACAGCUUAGAAAGCAUUAUUUCUAGAUCUCCUUUUUCUUCUUUGUAUGCUUCAAUUUCUAUUUUAUAAAUAGAGUUGUACUUUAUGAACCAACAUCCACCAUUAUAUUCUAUGAAAUCAUCAACAGUAAUACU